CCUACGGGAGGCAGCAGUGAGGAAUAUUGGUCAAUGGGCGCGAGCCUGAACCAGCCAAGCCGCGUGAGGGAAGAAGGUACAGCGUAUCGUAAACCUCUUUUGUCAGGGAACAAAGGCGGGGACUAGUCCCCGGAUGAGGGUACCUGAAGAAAAAGCAUCGGCUAACUCCGUGCCAGCAGCCGCGGUAAUACGGAGGAUGCGAGCGUUAUCCGGAUUUAUUGGGUUUAAGGGGUGCGCAGGCGGCCUGUUAAGUCAGCGGGAAAAGCCCGGGGCUCAACCCCGGCGAGCCGUUGAAACUGGCGGGCUGGAGUGGGAGAGAAGUACGCGGAAUGCGCGGUGUAGCGGUGAAAUGCUUAGAUAUCGCGCAGAACCCCGAUUGCGAAGGCAGCGUAUCGGCUCCACACUGACGCUGAGGCACGAAAGCGUGGGUAUCGAACAGGAUUAGAUACCCUAGUAGUC
rnacentral:rRNA from 1 species